GCGGGUAUCGUAUAACGGUAUUACGUCUGGUUGCCAAUCAGACAACACGGGUUCGACUCCCGUUACCCGCU
rnacentral:tRNA from 1 species